GAUUACUGGAAUGAGAAAUGAAAAAUAUUCUCAUAAGAAAAAAAUCAUACACGAUAUAAUUUGGGUAGUUAUUCACACCCAACUGCAUAGAUAGAAGUGUUUUCAUUUUCAGUGUUUAAGUGACAAUUCUGUCGACGGCAGUUGUUCGGGCAGACUUGAGAUUAUUUUAGUUUUUCUCGAAGACGGUGGUGAUCCAAAAUGCAUAGUCAUCCAUUUCCUGCCACUACACGGGAAAAUGACGAUUCGCUUCUCCUUGCUGUGCUAGUGGAUUCAGCAAUUCGGGUCCAGCUAAGGGUUCAGCGAAUAUGCUUCCGAAGGUGAAAUUGUUGAGUGGAAUCCACAUGAAAAAGGUCCUGUGAACGCAGGCUAGGCAUCCAGUUUCCCGCGCGAGUGUGGCAGAAUAUGAAGAUUAGAAAAGCUAUAUUGGACAAUAAAUUAAAUUAAAUAGAUA